ensembl:lncRNA
AGAAACCCCUUCAUCCUCCAGUCAAUGAUCCCAUGGGGUCCCAACAAGGGGAGAGUCCACGGUGACAAACCACGGUGCUGCCAAUGUCCCCGAGGAGCCUUGGGAAGGGAGGAAAUCAAAAGCGCUUCCAGGCAGCACUCAGCCAGCAGGGAUCCUCUAUCCUACUGGGAGGUGGGAAAGUGUGAAACUUCGGUGCGCCCGGGAUGGGAUAAGACAUGGGGAAAAAAACCACGUGGCAACACAUGGAACGGCUCCAGAAAUGGCUCCAGAAAUGGCUCCAGAAGUGGCGUAACACAUCGCGGCGCCGGGACAAGAGCGGGAUGGAGUGGGAGCCCGGCCCGAAGGCAGCUGUCUCAGAUCCAUCGCUCCUCCGUGGGCCAUCCAGGACAGGUCUGCAGCUCCCGCAGCCCCUCCCGGCUCAGUCACACAUCUGAAGCCGACCCCAAAACACAACCCAGAAGGAUCUGACACAAAGUUGGGAACCCGCCAAGAAAUUCCUCCUGGAAAGCAGUCGAUCAGUGGGGUCUCUGCCUGGCGAACCCCUGUCGGUAACGGUGAAUUACAAGCAAGCUCUGGGUUGAAAUGAGGCAGAAUAAAUCUAAUCAUAUUUUUAUGAGCCCCUUUUCCUCCCGCGCGGGCUGAGCUCUGAGCACACGCUGU